CGACACCCAGGGAGCUCCUGACGUGUCGGGGAGGAGCCCGGCGCAGGGGUACGCGGAGUGGAGCUCAGGGCUGCGGAAGGGAGCCGAACUGAGCGGCUGGGCGGGCCUGGCCAGGCCAGCGGAACACAGACGUCGGCCGAGCGGCGGCGAACAUGCGCUUUUGACACGUUGGCGGCUUUCUUGAUCAUGGAUGGUGAAGAUAUACCAGAUUUUUCAAGUUUAAAGGAAGAAACUGCUUAUUGGAAGGAACUUUCCUUGAAGUAUAAGCAAAGCUUCCAGGAAGCUCGGGACGAGCUGGUUGAAUUCCAGGAAGGAAGCAGAGAAUUAGAAGCAGAGUUGGAGGCACAGUUAGUACAGGCUGAACAAAGAAACAGAGACCUGCAAGCUGACAACCAAAGACUGAAAUAUGAAGUGGAGGCGUUAAAGGAGAAACUGGAGCAUCAGUAUGCACAGAGCUACAAGCAGGUCUCAGUGCUAGAGGACGACCUCAGUCAGACCCGGGCCGUGAAGGAGCAGCUGCACAAGUAUGUGCGUGAGCUCGAGCAGGCCAACGAUGACCUGGAGCGCGCCAAAAGGGCAACAAUAGUUUCACUGGAAGACUUUGAACAAAGGCUAAAUCAAGCCAUUGAACGAAAUGCAUUUUUAGAAAGUGAACUUGAUGAAAAGGAAUCUUUGUUGGUCUCAGUACAGAGGUUAAAGGAUGAAGCAAGAGAUUUAAGGCAAGAGCUGGCAGUUCGGGAACGACAGCAGGAAGUGACCCGGAAGUCCGCUCCCAGCUCGCCGACUCUGGACUGUGAGAAGAUGGACUCUGCUGUGCAGGCUUCCCUCUCGUUGCCUGCAACGCCUGUAGGGAAAGGAACAGAGAACAGUUUUCCUUCACCAAAAGCUAUACCAAAUGGUUUUGGAACCAGUCCACUAACUCCUUCUGCUAGGAUAUCAGCUCUAAACAUCGUGGGGGAUCUCUUGCGGAAAGUAGGGGCUUUAGAAUCCAAGUUAGCAGCUUGCAGGAACUUUGCAAAAGACCAAGCAUCCCGGAAAUCCUAUGUUCCAGGGAGCGUUAACUGUGGGGUAAUGAACAGCAAUGGCCCAGAGUGCCCAAGGUCAGGGCGUGCUACUUUCUUCCAUAAAGGGGCAGUAAACGGCUUUGAUCCGGCUCCUCCUCCUCCUGGGCUGGGCUCCUCACGCCCAUCGUCAGCACCGGGUAUGCUGCCUCUCAGUGUGUGAGUGUCCGGCCUCCAGGGGGGGCCCCCUGCCCUCUUCCAGCAGCCCACGACACCUACGCCUUGUCCCUCAGUGCCUGGGUCCAGCCCUGUGCCCCUGUCUGCCUUUCCACCGCUGGCAGAGGGCAGGCUGCAUGCCGUGGCGGCUGCUGGGCUCCGCCCCGCCCCAGGACUCUGCGCGAUAUCAAUACUGGCUAUUUUCUCUUCUCGCCGUAGUGCCGUUGGUUUCACAUGAUUGCACUUUUUGUGGGUCACAAGUGAUACAUAUGUGUAUCGCUCGAUCACUGGAUGUGGAAGUACCCGUUCAUCACACCUGCCUCCAAGCCCCAUUUGCUGUGUGAUAGGAUUUAGUUGUUUAACCAUUGCAGGUCUUCUAGAAGUUUCCCCUCAAUCAGGUUGACAAGGCUUACUCCUGCCGGGCAUCUUCAGUGCUCACAAUCAUGUGUCCCCCAACCUUACCCUGCAGUUCAGGCCUGUUUCUGGCAGAGUCUCUGAGUUAGGGAACAUUGUCUGUACCUUCUGACUUUAUGUAUGCAGUCUAUUUCGUUGCUUGCUUUUCAGAGCAUUGAGAUGUGUGUCUAAGCUGCAGGAGGCACGGGCAGCUGGGCCCUGGGCAGUCCAGGCCCAGCUUCUGUCAAGGUUGCCCUCUCCUCUGUGUGCCUCAGACUCAGAGGAUGCAGGCGGCAACUUUCCUGCCAGCUCAGUCACUGAACAUCUCAGAGCGUUUUUGGUUUCUCCUCUGAAGGUCCGUCUAGAUGCAUCGGGAAGGGUUGAGGGGCCUGAUUCUGGGGUUGGCUGGUGCCAGCUCGUGGGGGGCAGACUGGCCAGAGGGGUUUGUCCCUUGCACCCUUGAUUAUUCUCAUGCUGCACUUACUGUUUACAUUUGUUUUACUGUACAUAGGUUUGUAAACAUUAUUGCCUAAGAUAUUUGUACAUAACUUGGGCGUUGUAGCUUUUAUUUAUUCACUCAUAUGGCAUGUUAAUGACUUAUGAUGGUGUCCUACUCUGGGCAGCUGUAUAGGAUCAUCAUGUGGUUUAAAGAAGAUACUUCCCUCCAAAAAAAUCUUUUAAUGUGGAAACAAUAAAUUUCACAGAAAAAAAAAAGGGUCAAGAUUGCUUUAUUUGGUUCCUGCCAUCCCGUGAGAGAAGACAUUUGAAAGGCAGUUCAGUGUCUCUUCUCCUACAUGGGAUGUGAUGGAGAACAGGUGUAAAAUAAGACAGUUGAGGCCUCAGGAGAGGCUUUAUUCACACACACUGCUAGCCUUGUACCAUCUCCAGGAGCAGCCUGAGGAUGGCCCAGCCCCCAUGGGAUGGUAGAGAAAAACCAGGCACGAAGCACUGUAUGGGCCCAGGAACUGGCCUCCUAGUUGCACUGCAUACAGCGAGAGCUGAAGGUGCUGGGAUGAGGGGAAUUCCGUGGGCAUGGGCUUCUCCUCAUCUUUCUUUCACUGAUGUUGCAAGUGAGACAAGUUCCAGGUGCGUGGCAGAAAGUUCCAGGUGCCACGUUGAGAGCAUAAAUGUGACGUGUGCUUGACCUUGCCUGCGGCAGCAGCACAAACAACAGUGCAUCUCAUAGCUUAAAGCAAGUGUGCGGACUGUGGUGCGAGAGGCAGGUGAGUCUCUGAGUUCAAGGUCGAGGCUUCCCUGUUCCAGGACAGCCAGAGACCCCAUCUCCACCCCCCCUCCCCAGAUGAAACCAUAAAACAACCAAACCACGUGAGUGAGAGUUAAGGGAGGCAGGCUACUAAGUGACUAGGAAGCAGUAAGUAAGGUAAGGUUCAAACUUUCUGUUAACAGAAGACGGCAUCUGUUGUUUGUUCUUGGAGCGUUCGCCCUAAGCUGACUUCACCGAGAGGCCCCUGCAGCCACCUGACCGCUGCAAGGCAGUCUUAACUGUCUCACUGAAUGCUGGCAUUCUGUGCUGAACGGCCCCUGGAAGGAUGGAUUAGGAAUUCUGCUAGCGUUUCCUGUCAGCUCUUUAGGAAGCCUUCCCUGAGGCAGACGUGACCCAGAGGAAUGAAGUUUAAACUUUUCACUGGCCGAGCAGUGUCACGCCCCGCUGCCUUCUCCACUAAGAUGCAGUACGUAGAUCCUGCCGGGACUGUGGUCAUGGGUGGAUGCCCGGCAGGAGGGCGGGGCUCAUUUGUGCUGGGCUGCCAGUGUGGGCUGAGUAAAGACAACCUUUGAGUGACACACCUGAGUGUGAGGCUUAGUGGCCAAGCCUGCUGCACUGAAGGCCGGAGAUGGGAAACAUUUAUCUUGAUAAGUUUUAGCUAGGAAAAAGAUUGAUCCCACUGUGUAGGGAAGAGAUAUUUUAUUAUAUUAUUCUCCAUGUCUUAAUCUUGCCUAAUAGUGGGAUAGCCGUAUCACUUCUGGGAUAAUACCUGCUGAUGUCAAGAAUAUGAUAAACUUCAAUAAAGUACAAUAAAUGUCA